AUGAACGCUGGCGGCGUGCCUAAUACAUGCAAGUCGAGCGAACGGACGAGAAGCUUGCUUCUCUGAUGAUAGCGGCGGACGGGAGAGUAACACGGGGAUCCCCUACCUAUAAGACUGGGAAAACUUCGGGAAACCGGCGCUUAUACCGUAAAAUAUUUUGAACCGCAUGGUUCAAAAGUGAAAGACGGUCUUGCUGUCACUUAUAGAUGGAUCCGCGCUGCAUUAGCUAGUUGGUAAGGUAACGGCUUACCAAGGCAACGAUGCAUCGCCGACCUGAGAGGGGGAUCGGCAACCCGGGAACUGAGACACGGUCCAGACUCCUAGGGGAGGCAGAAGUAGGGAAUCUUCCGAAAUGGGCGAAGGCCUGACGGGGCAACGCCGCGUGAGUGAUGAGGGUCUUCGGUUCGUAAAACUCUGUGAUUAGGGAAGAACAUAUUUGGAAGUGACUGUGCACAUCGUGACGGUACCUAAUCAGAAAGCCACGGCUAACUACGUG
rnacentral:rRNA from 1 species